rnacentral:rRNA from 1 species
AUUGAACGCUGGCGGAAUGCUUUACACAUGCAAGUCGAGCGGCAGCGCGGGGCAACCUGGCGGCGAGCGGCGAACGGGUGAGUAACACAUCGGAACGUGCCCUAUCGUGGGGGAUAACGAAUCGAAAGAUUCGCUAAUACCGCAUACGACCUGAGGGUGAAAGCGGGGGAUCGCAAGACCUCGCGCGAUUGGAGCGGCCGAUGUCGGAUUAGCUAGUUGGUGAGGUAAAGGCUCACCAAGGCGACGAUCCGUAGCUGGUCUGAGAGGACGACCAGCCACACUGGGACUGAGACACGGCCCAGACUCCUACGGGAGGCAGCAGUGGGGAAUUUUGGACAAUGGGGGCAACCCUGAUCCAGCCAUUCCGCGUGAGUGAAGAAGGCCUUCGGGUUGUAAAGCUCUUUCGGCAGGAACGAAACGGUGGAGGCUAAUACCUUUCAUCAAUGACGGUACCUGAAGAAGAAGCACCGGCUAACUACGUGCCAGCAGCCGCGGUAAUACGUAGGGUGCGAGCGUUAAUCGGAAUUACUGGGCGUAAAGCGUGCGCAGGCGGCUUUGUAAGACAGGUGUGAAAUCCCCGGGCUUAACCUGGGAACUGCGCUUGUGACUGCAAGGCUUGAGUGUGGCAGAGGGGGGUGGAAUUCCACGUGUAGCAGUGAAAUGCGUAGAGAUGUGGAGGAACACCGAUGGCGAAGGCAGCCCCCUGGGUCAACACUGACGCUCAUGCACGAAAGCGUGGGUAGCAAACAGGAUUAGAUACCCUGGUAGUCCACGCCCUAAACGAUGCCAACUAGGUGUUGGGGAAGGAGACUUCCUUAGUACCGUAGCUAACGCGUGAAGUUGGCCGCCUGGGGAGUACGGUCGCAAGAUUAA